rnacentral:lncRNA from 1 species
GGUGGCAGCAGUAGAACAGGCUGGGAAGAGCUGCUUGCUGAUUUUCAACUUGAGUGUUGAAGUGACUUUUGUUUACUGGAUUGUUCUUUGCAGCGUAUUGGUGUGGCACUGUCAGAAUUGUAUCAGUGGUGUUGUAAAAUGUAUACUCAGUGGAUCAAACACUGCCAGCUGUUCCUUUGGCUUUUGACCAUCGUGUGGUAGAUGUUCUGAUACCACCAGUAGGACAGGACAGCCUGUAGGAAGGACCACCUAUGUGACUGGAAGACCGCAAAUACGCAGUGAUGAAUGAUGGGCAGCCGGAGAAGGGCACAUUAGACUGAGGACAAGACAAUAGGAGCGUUUAUAUCGAGAGUGUCAAGAAACGAGAAGGGAGGAAUGAUGACCAGAAUCAGAAGGGAGCUUCCGAAGCAGCCGUACGUGGCCAUCUGCUGCAAAGAAGACGCACAGAAGAUCACUGAUCUGAAUUUGUUCAAGACGGGAGAUGCACUAAGACAGGUUCUGGGAUACAUUCCUACGAAUGUCCAGAAGCUGUCCUCUGGUGUACCUAUGUGACUGGAAGACCGCAAAUACGCAGUGAGGAACAAUGGGCAGCCGGAGAAGACUGAGGACAAGACCAAUGGAGCGUUUAUAUCGAGAGUGUCAAGAAACGAGAAGGGAGGAAUGAUGACCAGAAUCAGAAGACGUCCUGCAGCACCGGUUGAUCGCCUACAAGAGCAGAUUGUCGUCCAUAUCCACUGUAUCGAGAAACAAGUAGUGUAGGAUGAUCAUCCCUAGAAGAUUACUGUCACUCAUCAGACUUUUCGCAAGAAGGUGCUGGUGUUAUCAGUAAGUCUACCACAGAAGGUAGAAGGUCAAAUAAACAGCUUGUAGAGUUUGUUUGAUCCUUUUUGAGUACACUUUUUACAGCAUCAUUGAAACAGUAAUGGCAGUGCGGCACCAACAAGCUGCAAAGAACAAGCUAGUAGGCAAAAUUCACUUCCAACACUCAAGCACAAAAUCAUUUGGCAGCUCUUCCCACCCAAUUCUACUUCUGUCACCCCCCUUCCCUCUUGAAAAGACCCCUACCUACACUGCUGUGGCCUUGUAAAGAUAGGUUGACAGGGAGCUAAGUGGAUAGGGUAAGUUUAGCGUAGGAUUUUGUAGAUAGUAUUGCCAUGGCCAUGGCGGGAGGGAGUUGAGGGGGCAGUG